GUGCUCACUUCGGCAGCACAUAUACUAAAAUUGGAAUAAGAAGAUUAGCAUGGCCCCUGUGCAAGGAUGACACACAAAUUUGUGAGGUGUGCCAUAUUUUU
ensembl:snRNA U6 U6 spliceosomal RNA